rnacentral:rRNA from 1 species
AGAUGGUGAACUAUGCCUGAAUAGGGCGAAGCCAGGGGAAACCCUGGUGGAAGCCCGCAGCGAUUCUGACGUGCAAAUCGAUCGUCAAAUUUGGGUAUAGGGGCGAAAGACUAAUCGAACCGUCUAGUAGCUGGUUCCCUCCGAAGUUUCCCUCAGGAUAGCUGGAGCCCGGUGCAGUUUUAUCAGGUAAAGCGAAUGAUUAGAGGUCUUGGGGUCGAAACGACCUCAACCUAUUCUCAAACUUUAAAUGGGUAAGAAGUCUGGCUUGCUCGAUUGAAGUCGGACGCGGAAUGCCGGGGCUCCUAGUGGGCCAUUUUUGGUAAGCAGAACUGGCGAUGUGGGAUGAACCGAAAGCCGGGUUAAGGUGCCCGAAUCGACGCUCAGCA